rnacentral:tRNA from 1 species
GGGGGUUUCGUCUAGUGGUAAGACGAUGGCUUCCAAAUCCAUUAACCGGCGUUCGAUUCGUCGAGCCCCUG